rnacentral:rRNA from 1 species
CGAACGAGAAAGCGGGAGCAAUCUCGCAAGUAAAGUGGCGUACGGGUGAGUAACACGUGGGUAAUCUACCCUCUGGUGUGGAAUAACCCUGGGAAACCGGGGCUAAUACCGCAUAACCUCGAGAGAGGAAAGGAGCAAUCCGCCGGAGGAGGAGCCCGCGGCCGAUUAGCUAGUUGGUGAGGUAAAAGCUCACCAAGGCAAAGAUCGGUAGCCGGCCUGAGAGGGCACACGGCCACACUGGCACUGAAACACGGGCCAGACUCCUACGGGAGGCAGCAGUGGGGAAUCUUGCACAAUGGGGGAAACCCUGAUGCAGCGACGCCGCGUGAGCGAUGAAGCCCUUCGGGGUGUAAAGCUCUUUCGGCAGGGACGAUAAUGACGGUACCUGCAGAAGCAGCUGCGGCUAACUACGUGCCAGCAGCCGCGGUAAUACGUAGGCAGCAAGCGUUGUUCGGAGUUACUGGGCGUAAAGGGUGCGUAGGCGGUCCCCUAAGUUUGGUGUGAAAUCUCCCGGCUUAACUGGGAGGGUGCGCCGGAUACUGAGGGACUUGGGGUGCGGGAGGGGAGAGUAGAAUUCCUGGUGUGGCGGUGAAAUGCGUAGAUAUCAGGAGGAAUACCGGUGGUGUAAACGGCUCUCUGGACCGUAACUGACGCUGAGGCACGAAAGCGUGGGUAGCAAACAGGAUUAGAUACCCUGGUAGUCCACGCCCUAAACGAUGCAUGCUUUGGUGCGGGGUGAUUCAGUUCAUCUGUGCCGUAGCUAACGCGUUAAGCAUGCCGGCCUGGGGAGUACAGUCGCAAGGCUGAAACU